rnacentral:rRNA from 1 species
UUGUGUCUACCAAAGAAAGAAGGUGUGAUGGGGUUUCGAGAUAUUCACAUUUUUAACCUUACCUUACUUGCAAAACAAGCAUGGAGAUUAAUUGAUAACCCGGAUUCACUAUGUGCUUGUGUUCUCAAAGCCAAGUAUUAUCCAGAUUGUGACUUGCUGAAUGCAUUUUUGAAAAAGAGAUCCUCCUUACCUGGCAAAGCAUUAUAGCAGGGGUGCAAAUGCUCAAGAGAGGUCACAUAUGGAGAGUUGGAGAUGGUAGUCAGAUCAAUGUGUGGGAUGAUGAGUGGAUUCCCAAGUCACCGACCAGGAAGGUGGUUAUAG